UGGGGAAUAUUGGACAAUGGGGGCAACCCUGAUCCAGCCAUGCCGCGUGAGUGAUGAAGGCCUUAGGGUUGUAAAACUCUUUCGGUGGUGACGAUAAUGACGGUAACCACUAAAGAAGCCCCGGCUAACUCCGUGCCAGCAGCCGCGGUAAUACGGAGGAUGCAAGCGUUAUUCGGAAUUAUUGGGCGUAAAGCGUCCGCAGGUGGUGCCUCAAGUCUGCUGUCAAAGACCGAAGCUCAACUUCGGGCAGGCAGUGGAAACUGAAGCACUAGAGUACGGUAGGGGUAGAGGGAAUUUCCAGUGUAGCGGUGAAAUGCGUAGAGAUUGGAAAGAACACCAGUGGCGAAGGCGCUCUACUGGACCGUAACUGACACUCAGGGACGAAAGCUAGGGGAGCGAAAGGGAUUAGAUACCCCUGUAGUCC
rnacentral:rRNA from 1 species